ACCCUUUUGCCAAAAUCACGAGAAUUAAGAUAGUGGAUAUUUGUAUUAAAGUUGUUUGUAAUCACUAUUGUUUUUCCAAUUUUAUCCUUUAAGAAAGAAGGUUAGUUUAUGUUUUCAACAUGUUAUUUAUUGUUGAUUGAAGAAAAAGAUGUAUAAUAAAUAGGGGCAUGUAUGUAAAGAAAUAAUUAAUGUAGUUGGAAA
rnacentral:lncRNA from 1 species